GCAUCGGUUUAGCUCAGUGGUUACUUCUCUGCCUCAAACGCAGCUCUCUCUGCGCUCUCCGAGUGCAGGGUUCAACUACGGGCGCUGUCCGGUGUUUUA
rnacentral:vault_RNA from 1 species